UCUGGCGGCUGUAGCGCGGUGGUCCCACCUGACCCCAUGCCGAACUCAGAAGUGAAACGCCGUAGCGCCGAUGGUAGUGUAGGGUCUCCCCAUGCGAGAGUAGGGAACUGCCAGAC
rnacentral:rRNA from 1 species